ACUCCAAUCAGAAAAGACAACAUUAUCUUCCGGCAGAACCCUCUACUCACCUUCACUCUCCUUUCAGCAUGCCGCCCACCAAACCAUCGGCGUCCAACCAACACCUCUACGUCUUCCAUAAAAACUCCGACAAACUCCCCCCGCCGUCAUAACCGUUGAACACCUUGCACCGCCGGCAAAACCUCAGACCAACCUUUACAUCACUCAAACAUCCUUUCACACAAACAGUGACUCAAAAUACCCAUAACAUCCUGUUAGAUCGAACAACCAAACAUUACCACAAGUUAAUUCCACCGCUACCAUACCGACAGCA
rnacentral:lncRNA from 1 species